rnacentral:rRNA from 1 species
GAUGAACGCUGGCGGCGUGCCUAAUACAUGCAAGUCGAGCGAACAGACGAGGAGCUUGCUCCUCUGACGUUAGCGGCGGACGGGUGAGUAACACGUGGAUAACCUACCUAUAAGACUGGGAUAACUUCGGGAAACCGGAGCUAAUACCGGAUAAUAUAUUGAACCGCAUGGUUCAAUAGUGAAAGACGGUUUUGCUGUCACUUAUAGAUGGAUCCGCGCCGCAUUAGCUAGUUGGUAAGGUAACGGCUUACCAAGGCAACGAUGCGUAGCCGACCUGAGAGGGUGAUCGGCCACCCUGGAACUGAGACACGGUCCAGACUCCUACGGGAGGUAGCAGUAGGGAAUCUUCCGCAAUGGGCGAAAGCCUGACGGAGCAACGCCGCGUGAGUGAUGAAGGUCUUCGGAUCGUAAAACUCUGUUAUUAGGGAAGAACAAAUGUGUAAGUAACUAUGCACGUCUUGACGGUACCUAAUCAGAAAGCCACGGCUAACUACGUG